rnacentral:rRNA from 1 species
UACAGAGGUCCCAAGCGUUGUUCGGAUUCACUGGGCGUAAAGGGUGCGUAGGUGGCGAGGUAAGUCGGAUGUGAAAUCUCCGAGCUCAACUCGGAAAUGGCAUUGGAAACUACCUUGCUUGAGGGUCGGAGGGGGGACUGGAAUACUUGGUGUAGCAGUGAAAUGCGUAGAUAUCAUUUGGAACGCCAAUGGUGAAAACAGCUCGCUGGGGUUGUGCUGACACUGAGACACGAAAGCCAGGGGAGCGAACGGG